rnacentral:misc_RNA from 1 species
GCCGGCCCACCUCUCGAUUCCGCUGUGCCUGUCACGCGGGCCCGCCCGGCCAGCCUCCCUGCUCGCGCGCUCCAACGCAGCGCGGUGUUCCCUUGUGGCUGCUGCGCUGGUCACAGACUUGUGGGGGCCGCACGCCAGGUAUCUCUUCUCCACUGAGAUCGGAACUACAUCCCUAGUUAUGCGCCGCCCUGCUCGCGAUCUCCUAGACGCGGACUCGCUGCCGCGGUCCUUGCCAUCCGGGUCGCCAGAACUUCCUUCUUGCGAUGACUGCGCGUAUCGGAUCAGAGUUUGUUGACGACCGUCCAUGAUCUUCGGCGCUGGCUAUGGUGGGGAUGCCAGGCUCGCCCCUAUAAAACUGAAGGCCGAUUUCCCCCAGCAACAUCUCCCAUGGCUGUGGGCGCUGUUCAUCCCACGACGGGAGGAUCCCUGCCAGGGCUGCACGGCCAGCUCUCCCUGUUCCCCAUGGCGAGCUCCCUCCAACAGCCAAGCUCCCCGUCGCGUCCCUGCUUCCGCCCUCUGCUCCAACGUGCCCAGACCUUUUUCCCAUCGGCACUCGGCGCCCAGUGCCCUUCAAGAUCGAGUUAUCCUCGGCUGUUGUUGGGGAACCAUGGCGCGCUCUUGGCUCUUGCUCGUCAAAAAAAAAUUGAAUCCCUGCGCCACGGAGUUCUUGAGAGCACGACCAACCAGAUUGCUGGAAAUCGCCGGCGAGCGUGGAUUUGAGAGAGAACAAGAAAUCGCCGUCGCGUCGCGUGCUGAGAAGAGCCGUGAACCACAACACCUGGGAUCCACUUGGCUCGGCACUGUAUCUUCAUCUUUGAUGCGCAAAUCCGCGGAGCGAUGCGCUCGCGGCCGCUCUCCCUGGGGGUCGCGCGGGGAGCCCGUGGAAGAUCUUGGGCAGCGCAAUCGCUCAAUCCGCGCAGUACUCCUCUCGCUUCAAGUUCGACAGGAUAUUCGGCGAGGAAGUGCCGCACCUCCGUCUGGUGUGCGGUGGUAUGGAGAAGAAGACAAGCCAUGGCUAUUAGUCUGGGC